AUGGAACAUCAUUCACAGGGAUUGCUUGCGGAAAUCUGUGUUAUUAUUUGAGCUUGCUACAGCAAGAAAGUCUAACCUAUUCUGGCACUCUCCCCUCUGUGAGAUGGCCCAUUACAUAGACUUGAACAGU
rnacentral:snoRNA from 1 species